GCAUUUUCGUUUCUGCAUUUUCGUUUCUGCUAUCAGUCACUACAAUCUUAAAUCUCGUGUGGCUCUCGCGUCUUUGCUCCGUUUCAGUUGUCGCCCGUGUGGCUUUCAUAGUGUGGCGUCUUUGCUCCGUUCGAGUUGUCCUUUUCAUCAGUGCGUGUUGCCUCAAGCUGUAGGGCUCCUUCGUUUCCUUCGUUUUAGGGCUUCUGUUUUAGAACUGUAUUAGUGUACUGGGCGUAGGAUAUUUGUUCGUGCACUGGGUUUAGGAACUCGUUCUCACUCGCUUCGUUGCUAGGGCAAACCCUGAGGGAGAACGACACUACUCUGGUGAGUCUUCUCCCUUAUUGAAUUAGAAUUCUGGAAUUAAACACGUUGGGUUUUGUAUGAUGCCAUGUACUCUUACUCUACUUCAAUUGCAAGAAAAGUCCAAUACGUUUUAGGGGUUUCCAAUACUCUGAUCCUUGUCUUAACCAGAGAUACAGAUGCGGAAGACAAACGCUAAAAAAGUAUCCACUGGAGAAAAUCAAUGUGUAUAUACACAUUUUAAUAGGAACACAUUAUGUUCAAACAGUAAAUAAAAUAAAAUAAAAUUGGGGCCAAAAUAGGAACCCAUUCCAUUCCAAUACACAUUAUUCCAUCUAUAUACAUGUACACGGUAAGUUGUUGCCUAAUGCCAAGGUACAAAGAAGGGCACAAAAACCCUGAGCACAUAGCCCAACUAUUUAGCUAUCUGAAUGUGUUGAAUUAUCAGUAUUAGCUCCUUAUUCCUCUGUCGGACAAAGCUGAUUGCGGUUAGUCUCGAUGAGGUCUAGGCUAAUUCAACCUGAGACUCGUAGUUGAAUAGUAAAUUCCAACUAAAACGAUAAUUAUGUAUGAGCAAUGUAAUUAUUUAAAAAAAGAUAUUAAAAGCAAUUGACUUCUGCAUUUUAUCAAUAGCAGUUUGCUCCAUCUGCUCUGACCAUAUUACAAAAUUGUUGUGAGUGAUAUCCAAGCAAUAGGCACUUAAAGCAUUUUAUAUUAAUCAGAAGCAAUCAUCAUAUAAAGUUACCUACUGAGGGAUGGCCGUAGAAAAGAAGAAAAAAGUAUUUAGAAUUUACUGGGUUACUUAUGCUUUAUAUAGCAAUUCAGCAAAAUGUUAUCUGGCUCAAAGAAGAUAUAUGCUGCAAAUUAUUGUUCGCAUAUAUAGUGUUCUUUAUUUGUAUGCCAAAGGAGAUUUUCAUUUUUUAACUUCUAGAUUCUAAAUUUGAAACUAUUACUAUGAUCUCUCUGAUCUCCGUGUUGUAUACAAUCAUGUUCAACUUGGAAAGCAUCAAAGACUUGGAGGAGGUAUUGUUCUUUACUUUUCUGUUUUAAUUUAUUUUAAAUAUAAAGAAUGAUAUAUAGAAGAAUUUACCUGGCUUUUUAAUUUUAACAGCUCACAAUCUGCUGUUAUAUUCUUAACCUCCCUGUUCAAUUUAAAGUAAAUUAUAUUGAAUUUUAACCAAUGAACUUUACCAUUUUGUUUCUCUCUUUUUGUAUUGAAAAACUAGUUCUGGAUUCAUCUUGGAGGAAAUAAUAAGUUUUGUAUACCCUUAGUUUAUGAUGCUUUCUAUUGAUAUGAUCUCAUACUUGUAUCGUGUUGUCAGUUGAAGGAAUUUGUCUUAGACCAAUCAGAGGCCUAUGAGAUUAAAAUGGGGGAUGAAUUUUUUACAGAGGACUUGGAGAUCCACCUCUAGAUGAAGUUAUUGAGAAGCUCAACAGUGAGAAAGCCAAAGCAGAUGAUGCUGAUAUAGAGAAAAUUGAUCAAAAUGAUAAGACAGAGUUGUAACAAUCGGUAUAGACAUAAUUUUAUAAAAGUUGAGAUAAAACAGAGUAGUCACUCAUUUUCAAUGAUUUACGAGAGUCUUCUUAAA